AAAAAAAUAAGCUAAUAAAGCUAUUAGGUUCAUACCCUAAUUAUAAAGGUUCAUCCCUUUUUUUUUUA
rnacentral:tRNA from 1 species